GUGAGGAAUUUUCCGCAAUGGGCGAAAGCCUGACGGAGCAAUGCCGCGUGAAGGAUGAAGGCCUAUGGGUUGUAAACUUCUUUUCUUAGAGAAGAAUAUUGACGGUAUCUGAGGAAUAAGCAUCGGCUAACUCUGUGCCAGCAGCCGCGGUAAGACAGAGGAUGCAAGCGUUAUCCGGAAUGAUUGGGCGUAAAGCGUCUGUAGGUGGCUUCAAAAGUCUCCUGUCAAAUAUCAGGGCUUAACCCUGGGCCGGCAGGAGCAACUCGGAGGCUAGAGUGUGGUAGGUGCAGAGAGAAUUCCCGGUGGAGCGGUGAAAUGCGUAGAGAUCGGGAGGAACACCAAAGGCGAAAGCACUCUGCUGGGCCACAACUGACACUGAGAGACGAAAGCGAGGGGAGCAAAAGGGAUUAGAUACCCGGGUAGUCC
rnacentral:rRNA from 1 species